CUAGGUGCUGUUGCACCGAGAGCUUGUCUACAAAAUGUCAGGCAGACAGCAAUUCAUACUGCCAAGUUAUAGAUUUUUUUUUCAUUAAAACCUGCCUGGUUUUCUGCCAUGCUGACACAGCCUCCGAGGGAGGGAAUGUGCUGAUCGAGUACAUCCAGGCUCUCCAAGAUGGCUGAGGAUGGAAUACAACAUUUAACACAGAGUAGAGAAGCUUCAGCUUUCCCAGGUGGGAUUCUUAACUCGCCUCCGCAGCUGUGAGCUGAUCAUUCAUCCACUACAAUCUAUUUUUGCUUCAAAGCUGGGAUGUCCAAAAAUCAGCUACGGCCAUGCACACGAGUUGAACUUCUAUUCAGUGGAUGACAUUAAAGCUGCAAAGCUCUACUUGAUUUGAAGAUGAUCCUUACCAGAGGGAGGAAAUAACAGGAGCAUUCAAGCUUCUGCAACGACCAGACCGGUCUCUUAUUCCUGACGUAACAUCUCAGAUCAGCCAACACGUCAGAGGGCAACGUUCUCUGU